GCGAGCUUUAGCUUUACAAUGGGAUGGGAUUCCGAAGCUCCUUAAGAGUUAAUAUAGGCUCGCCCAUCCAACUCCUAUCCCGACACAUCCUCGUCGUGCAGGGGGGUAACAUGUGCUACCACAUAUGUAAGCUUGAGUACACGGACUAGUUCCAACCUCUUGGGCGGAUGGUGACAUAUGGUGAACCAGGAGGGA
rnacentral:ribozyme from 1 species